rnacentral:rRNA from 1 species
GGAAUCUUGCACAAUGGGGGAAACCCUGAUGCAGCGACGCCGCGUGAGCGAUGAAGCCCUUCGGGGUGUAAAGCUCUUUCGGCAGGAACGAUAAUGACGGUACCUGCAGAAGAAGCUGCGGCUAACUACGUGCCAGCAGCCGCGGUAAUACGUAGGCAGCGAGCGUUGUUCGGAAUUACUGGGCGUAAAGAGUGCGUAGGCGGUGCUCUAAGUUUGGUGUGAAAUCUCCCGGCUCAACUGGGAGGGUGCGCCGAAGACUGGAGUGCUUGAGUGUGGGAGAGGAAAGCGGAAUUCCUGGUGUAGCGGUGAAAUGCGUAGAUAUCAGGAGGAACACCGGUGGUGUAGACGGCUUUCUGGACCACUACUGACGCUGAGGCACGAAAGCGUGGGGAGC